rnacentral:misc_RNA from 1 species
UUCUCUCACUUUUCUUCUUCCUUUCAUUUUCUUCAUCUUCAUUGUUGACACUCCCAAUUGAUGAUUCUCAUUAUUUGAUCUCUUCCCAUUCAUCAACUUUUCUCCAAUCUCUCCCCAUGGCCAUAGAUUUGGAGUGGAUGUUUGCAAGGAAAGGAGGUGUUGAGGUGCAAAUUCAUAGGAAAGGGAGGGCUUGAGGGGCAAAAGAGAAGAAGAAAGUAGGGUUUCAUUGAGAUUGGAAUUACUAUUAUUGUUAUUAUUAUUAGUAUUAUUACUAGAAAUGGAGAAAUUUGGAGGAUCAAAUGGAGGGGAAGGAGAAUGGGUUUGAGGAAUUGAAGGAAGUUGGAGAAAAGUUAAGUUUGAAGGGAAAUUGAAGAAACCCAUUUGAGAAUUUGCUGCCACUUCAUGAUCUUGAUGAUCUUCAAACAAAGCUUGUGGGUUCAAUAGGACUUGGGAUUUAGAACCCAUUUCUUUUUUCUUUUCUCUCUUUGGUUUGGCUAUGACAAUGGUUUGUUUUUUCUUCUUCUGUCUAUGUGGGAAAAGGGAAAAGAGGAUGGAUUAGAAGAAUUAGAAGAAG